rnacentral:rRNA from 1 species
GACGAACGCUGGCGGCGUGCUUAACACAUGCAAGUCGAGCGGAGCGGCGAACGGGUGAGUAACGCGUGAGUAACUGCCCCCCUCUCUGGGAUAACCGUUGGAAACGGCUGCUAAUACCGGAUAGUGGGGGAUGACUCGCGUCCUAUCCGCUUGUUGGUUCGGUAUUGGCCUACCAAUGUGACGAAGGGUAGCCGGCCUGAGAGGGCGACCGGCCACAUUGGGCUGAGAUACGGCCCGAACGCCUACGGGAGGCAUCAGUGGGGAAUAUUGCACAAUGGGGGAAACCCUGAUGCAGCAACGCGCGUGCGGGAUGACGGCCUUCGGGUUGUAAACCGCUUUCAGCCAUAACGCGGUAGUGGCAGAAGAAGCACCGGCUAACUACGUGCCAGCAGCCGCGGUAAUUC